GACGAACGCUGGCGGCGUGCUUAACACAUGCAAGUCGAACGGAAAGGCCCUGCUUUUGUUGGGUGCUCGAGUGGCGAACGGGUGAGUAACACGUGAGUAACCUGCCCUUUACUUUGUGAUAACUUCAGGAAACUGGGGCUAAUACCGGAUAGGAGCUCCUGCUGCAUGGUGGGGGUUGGAAAGUUUCGGCGGUUGGGGAUGGACUCGCGGCUUAUCAGCUUGUUGGUGGGGUAGUGGCUUACCAAGGCUUUGACGGGUAGCCGGCCUGGGAGGGUGACCGGCCACAUUGGGACUGCGGUACGGCCCAGACUGCUACGGUAGGCAGUAGUGGGGAAUAUUGCACAGUGGGCGGAAGCCUGAUGCAGCGACGCCGCGUGCGGGAUGACGGUCUUCGGGUUGUAAACCGCUUUCGCCUGUGACGAAGCGUGAGUGACGGUAAUGGGUAAAGAAGCACCGGCUAACUACGUG
rnacentral:rRNA from 1 species